CAGUCGCCACGGUAAUACGGAGGGUGCAAGCGUUAAUCGGAAUUACUGGGCGUAAAGCGCACGCAGGCGGUCUGUCAAGUCAGAUGUGAAAUCCCCGGGCUUAACCUGGGAACUGCAUUUGAAACUGGCAGGCUAGAGUCUUGUAGAGGGGGGUAGAAUUCCAGGUGUAGCGGUGAAAUGCGUAGAGAUCUGGAGGAAUACCGGUGGCGAAGGCGGCCCCCUGGACAAAGACUGACGCUCAGGUGCGAAAGCGUGGGGAGCAAACAGGAUUAGAGACCCCAGUAGUCCCUGUCUCUUAUAC
rnacentral:rRNA from 1 species